rnacentral:rRNA from 1 species
CGGUUGAUCCUGCCGGACCCUACUGCUAUCGGGGUGGGACUAAGACAUGCGAGUCGAACGCUUCGCAGCCAUGAACGAAGCGUGGCAUACGGCUCAGUAACACGUGGCUAACCUACCCUUGAGACGAGGACAACCCCGGGAAACUGGGGCUAAUCCGCGAUAGAAGAGAACUCCUAGAACGGGUUCUCGUCCAAAGGGCACCGAAAUCAUGCUUUCGGCGUCGCUCAAGGAUGGGGCCGCGGCCGAUCAGGCUGUUGGUGAGGCAAUGGCUCACCAAACCUUUAACCGGUACGGGCCGUGGGAGCGGGAGCCCGGAGAUGGGAACUGAGACAAGGCCCCAGGCCCUACGGGGCGCAGCAGGCGCGAAAACUCCACAAUGCGCGAAAGCGUGAUGGGGUUACCCCGAGUGCUGUCCGUUAAGGGUAGCUUUUCUCCAUCGUAAGGAGCUGGAGGAAUAAAGGGGGGGCAAGUCUGGUGUCAGCCGCCGCGGUAAUACCAGCCCCUGAGUGGUAGGGACGAUUAUUUGGCCUAAAGCGUCCGUAGCCGGCUUAGCAAGUCUUUCGUUAAAUCCGACGAUUUAAUCGCCGGGCCGCGGAAGAUACUACUGAGCUUGAGGACGGGAGAGGUUGACGGUAGUCCCAGGGUAGGGGUGAAAUCCUAUAAUCCCAGGAAGACCACCAGUGGCGAAGGCUGUCGGCUAGAACGCGCCCGACGGUGAGGGAUGAAAGCUGGGGGAGCGAACCGGAUUAGAUACCCGGGUAGUCCCAGCUGUAAACGAUGCGGGCUAGGUGUUGGAGCGGCUACGAGCCGCUUCAGUGCCGCAGGGAAGCCAUUAAGCCCGCCGCCUGGGGAGUACGGCCGCAAGGCUGAAACUUAAAGGAAUUGGCGGGGGAGCACCACAAGGGGUGAAGCUUGCGGUUUAAUUGGAGUCAACGCCGGAAAUCUCACCGGGGGCGACAGCAGAAUGAAAGCCAGGUUGAUGGCCUUGCUGGACGAGCUGAGAGGAGGUGCAUGGCCGUCGCCAGUUCGUGCCGUGAGGUGUCCUGUUAAGUCAGGCAACGAUCGAGACCCACACUCUCUGUUGCUACCGAGGAGUUUUCCAAGGAGCACUCUGAGGGGACUGCCGCCGAUAAGGUGGAGGAAGGAGUGGGCCACGGCAGGUCAGUAUGCCCCGAAUCGCCCGGGCCACACGCGAGCUGCAAUGGCUGGGACAGUGGGUUCCGACCCCGAAAGGGGAUGGUAAUCCCGAAACCCGGCCUCAGUUGGGAUCGAGGGCUGAAACCCGCCCUCGUGAACAUGGAAUCCCUAGUAAUCGCGCGUCAUCAGCGCGCGGUGAAUACGUCCCUGCUCCUUGCACACACCGCCCGUCGUUCCACUCGAGUGGGGUUUGGGUGAGGCGUGGUCUUUUUGGCUGCGUCGAAUCCAAGUUUCGCGAGAGGGGAAAAGUCGUAACAAGGUAGCC